rnacentral:lncRNA from 1 species
AGAUUCUGGGAUUAACAAGGGAAUCUUAGUAGAUAUGCAAGGAAGAUAUGUUGAUUCAAAAGCUACUUAGGAGACAUUGAGAAAUCACAAACUGGAGAGACAGAAAAGCCAGUUUAGGUAAAAUAUCCAUUUCCAUGGAUGUGAAUCUGAGCCAUUGGCUACUAUAGCUAUAGCACGCCUUGAGAAACAGUAUCUGGGAACUUUGGAUUUUAUUUUUUUCAAAGAAAAAAUAUCUUUCAUUCUCAAAAUGACUGGAAAUUCCCUAUAUGAAGCUCUCCAUCUUUUUUGUCUUGUAUACUCCAAUAGCGUGUGUAGGUAAACGUGUUCAAGUCUUGUUUUUUGCCUACAACUUGUUUGCUGUGUUUUCUGAGACAAUGCUUUGGUAGUUGCGAGUUUUAAUCUCUCUGUAACCCUGAGGUGUUUCCUCAGUGAGUAGAUAACUGACAUGACCAGAUUUCUGUCUCUUUGUGAAGGAGUCUGCAUGCUGCAGGGAAUAUGUUUUCUCAUGAAAGGAACCUUCAAAUGAAGAUCUGUGGUGAAACCCAGUUAUUUCGAAUGUUUGUUAAACUUGUUUCUCUCGGGUUUGUUACGUAUUUUGCUGUUUCAUCUGCUGGCAAAGUAUGUGUUUACCAGGUCCUUAAGCUCAAAAACCUCUAGGGUUUUGGCCUGUUACUGAAACAUUUUUAUAUUCUUUACAUUUCUGAAAAGACAAGUUUUUAAACUUUGUCCACUGUUGUAACUAUCAUGUUGUUCAAGUGUAGUAUUUGGCUCAAUGGGCCAGCAAUGUUGUGGCCCUCCAUUUGUACCCUACAAGGAAAGACUUGCUCAGGUUUUGUCCUCUGCCCUGCCAAACCUCUCCUAGUGAACCUUACACUGAGCUGUCAGGUGAAGACCUUUAUGAGGUCAAGUGUCUUGUCCAUUCUAGCCUUUCAUAAUUCAGACCCUGAGGACUCCUCAUUGCCUCCAUUCCACAAGAUGUGCAUAAUAGUCCUUGAUGAGUCUCAUUCCAUUUCGUUACUUCAUUUAGUUGGUUUAGGAGCAGCCAUUUAAGAAAUUUAUAUUUUGCAAAUCUGAAAUAAAUCAUCUUACAAUAGAGAGUUGUUUGGAGGUAACAGUGCAGUGUUAAUCAAGAAUGUGAUUAGAUGUGUCUAGAUAUGUCUGGAAGGUCUGAUUCCUGUUUGAAAUUCUGUUUUUCAGCCUGUGAUGCAUGCAUUUUUUUCCACAUCUUCCCCAUUAACUUCUGUUGUAACAGAGUCUUGAGCAACGUGGUCUAGAGUGAGGCAUCCCUGCUCAUAUCAGGGGGUUGGAACUAGAUGAUCUUAAGGUACUUUCCAACCCUAACUAUUCUAUGAUUCUAUGAUACAGUAUUUUCUGUAUUACACCAAUUUGAUGUGGUAUGAAAUGUCUAACUUUUGCUACCAGUUUGAAGUUUGACUUCUGGGCAGAGACUUCUCUCAUGACACUCGAGCACUGUAGCUGUUAAAUUACCUAUUCAGGGAAAAAAAAAAAUUGUUUAAAAUAUUUUUUUCCCAAAUAUUGUCAGUUGCGGAUGAUGCCUACUUUAAUAAAAUCCUAUGCAGAUGUA